rnacentral:rRNA from 1 species
UACGUAGGGUGCAAGCGUUAAUCGGAAUUACUGGGCGUAAAGCGUGCGCAGGCGGUUUUAUAAGUCAGCUGUGAAAUCCCCGGGCUCAACCUGGGAAUGGCAGUUGAGACUGUAAGGCUAGAGUGUGUCAGAGGGGGGUAGAAUUCCACGUGUAGCAGUGAAAUGCGUAGAGAUGUGGAGGAAUACCGAUGGCGAAGGCAGCCCCCUGGGAUAACACUGACGCUCAUGCACGAAAGCGUGGGGAGCAAACAGG